GUGUACCAGGCCGUCUACCUUUUGGGCUGAGCCGUGGAACAAUUACGUCGGAGCGAACCUGAGCCGUUCUGGAAGCCUGCCACCGGCACGGACGGCUGCCCUUCCCCAAGGCUGCGGGAGGCUGCGGUUCCUCCGGCGGCCGGCGAUGCAAGAUGCUGGGCUUGAAUCCUUCUGGAUGCGGUCGACCAGUUUCCGGUGCGAGCGGAGUUCGCGGACAGCCUGGAACAUCCAGAUCCGGUGGCUCUUAAGGUGCUCCCGCGACGUGAUGCCACCCCUGCUACGCCGGCGGAUUCGAAUGCUGGCUCCGGGUGCAGGCAGCACGUUGGUUGCGCUAGCCCUGGGAGGACGCAGGGUGAAAAUCGCUGUCGACGGCCGGGCUCUCCGACGAGGUCUGCGCAGUCCACCCACAAGGUAAAUCCAGAGGCGCCGGGAUGGACCAAAAGGUACAACUUGAAUCCUGUCCUGUCUAACUGUUACUAUUUUUUUAGCAAAUGGUGCGAUUUUCUUGUGCUAUGCUCGCUGAGAUGUUAGUGGUGUGUGUGAUUUGCCGAACAGAAAAGAUGAAAUUGCUAGUUCAUGUGAUGUAUGGUUGAGAUCAGUAGGAAAAGUUAUCCGCGGCAGCACUCGUUUGGGUCUGUUUCCUACCGAUGGUUAGUUACAUAUUUUGUUCUUGUUUGUAAAUUCAGUUUACAUCUUGAGAGUGUGCCACCGGACAGAACGCCGUGUCCAUAUAGAUGAGUGCUUUAGAGCAGUCAAUUCGCAAGUAUGCCCUGCUCCCCGCUCGUCGCAGUCCUGGCAUCCCGCUUGUCCCCACAUGCAUCGUCUUUCUGUCUCCGCCGGUGCCACCACCACUCCUUGCUCGUUGCUGCCAGUCGAGCAAGAUGUCCGGUGCUGCGGUGGACAAGCACAAGACGCCAACGGAGGAAGAGAAUAAGAAUCCGGCGUGGGAGGAUGAGGAGGACAAGGAUCAGGCGAGAAAGGAGGUGGUUAUAGGUCUGAUACUUAGCAUGAUUUAUUUUCAGUAUUCUCUGUAGUUUAUAAGCAGCAAAUGCCACCAGGGAAUGCUCCAUGUUGUAAGAAAUUUGUGAACUCUGAACCUAGUCAAGUGCUUCUACUACAAGGUACUCCCUCCGUCUCAUAAUGUAAGACGCUUUUUAACACUAGUGUAGUGUCAAAAAACGUCUUACAUUAUGGGACGGAGGGAGUACUAUAUAGGUACCUGAUAUUUGGAAACUGUCAAAUCCCUUUACCCGCUCACACAAUAUCCCUGAAACAGCAACUGUUCCACUGAUUUUCUGAAACAGCAACUGUUACAAUGAAGAAAAAGCCAUCACUGGUUUGUCACAGCAGGUGGGUGCAGGAGAUGAUGAUGAUGCGCUGCUAAUAUUGGACUUGCCAGGGCAAAGGGUCAUUUUUGUGGCAGCCCAGAGAUAGGAAAACUGUGUCUAGUCAAGACCUGCUUAGCAACAAAGAGACAGGUCUUCAGAGCAGCUGCCAUUGACUUGGAAAAGUUCAGGACUAAAAUUUGAUGUUCAGGAGAAUCAAAUUCAUCGUAAAUAAGGGGCUGCCAUUGACUUGUCCUUCAUCGCAAAGUUCAGGAGAAUCUGAAUGUAUGUUCAGAACUAUGAAAUCUGGUGUUCAAGCACAUGUUCAGGAUGUGAAAUCUGAAACCUGAAUCUGAUGUUUAAGCUAGCAGUGAUGUAUGCUCACUGAAAUUAUGUUAGUUUUAAAACUGCUCGUUGCUGCAUUUGAUAAACUGAAUCUAGCGCUGUAUCAAAUGGACCGAAGAUUUGCUUGUUGCUGCAAGUCUGAAUGUAGUUUUAACAUUGUUCAGGACUGAAAUCUGAAUGUGAAACUGAUACAAAGAUAGCAUUGAUGUA